CUCCGCGCGGCAGGCUUGGCGGGAGCCACGCGGCUGCCCUGCCCUGCCCGGGCGGGCGGGGCGUCCUCCUCUCCCUCAGAGAGGCUCCCAGGGCUGUACAAAGAGUCCUUUGUCUGAGCUGGAAACAAUCGUUCUCCCCUUUAUGGAAACAUGGGCUGUGUCUCCUAAUCAAGCUUUCAGAAGCUGGAUCAAAGGGCACUGCAGCUCGGAGUUCUGGGGAUUAUGGAGCUGUCCUCGAGACACUGACAAGCUGUCAUCGGCCCCUAAUCCUCAGCUGUCCUGCGCCCACUGCGAACGAGCACCCUUUCUUCCCUAGGCUGGGCCUGGGAGUGCCUCGGGGUGUGAAGGGAGCUGGGGGAGGCGACUGGAGAGGAUAGGGUGGGUCUCCCCCUGCCUGGCACCCAGGGGUCAGGUUACAGCCCCUGCCAGCGAGGCACUGGGUGUGGACGUGCGGAGAGGCACUGCCUGGUGAGAAAGGGUGGUGCCAGAUUGGCCCAAGGCCACCCCCAUCUUCCAGAUCCUCAACCGUGGGCAGGGGAGACAACCCUCCCGACGCACGGGGCCCCUUCUCCCCCUUUGCCUGAGCACAGGGAAAGAGCCCAUCCAGAUCCGGGGCGGUCCUGGGUGCUGCGCCUUCUGCCAGUGGCACCCAGCCCCUUCCCACUUCCUGUUCCCCCACCACACACCCCGAAGGCCACCUCCCCUGUCUCCAGCGGGCCGUCCCUUCUUCACACCCCGAGUCCAGGCCUGGAGGCUGAGAGACUUUUCAGAACCCGACAAAAACAAAUCCUGAAUCGCCCACACGAGAUUAAAACCAGUCUCUCUCCCGAGCUUGGAGCACGUGAAAUCCCAUCAGCAGAACUGGGAGAAGCCUUAGGGACCUCUUAAUUCAAAUGACUGGCAGACCCAGUCAUCUGUCCCUGAGGAAGCUUGCAGCCAGCCAGAUGGGCUGAUAAGAGCUGACAGACGACCGGGAAAUGAAUAAAUGCAAAUGUUCCACACCGGGCUUGUGAUAACAUCAAAACUGGCCCACCACAGAUGCACCAGAAAGCAAAGCGUUCCUGGGUCAGGCUGUGUGCAGUCUGGUUGGGACAGAGUCUAGACUGGGCUCAGGCUGAGAAGGACAAACCUGCGAGCGAGCCGAAGGCAGAGGGAAGCAGGGUAUGAGGUGUGGAUGCCGCCAGGAGGACCCUGUUGAAGACCUGUGCAGAAGUCCUCAAAAUUCCCUCAGAUGCCAGGCCAUGUGCAAUCCCAGCCACUCUGGAGGCUGAGGCAGAAGGAUGGAAACUUCAAGGCCAGCCUGGCACUUGGCUUCUGUGCCAAAGUCCCACUGGGGACAUCCCAGGCCGAAGCUGGGCCAGGACACAACGGAACUCAGGUAAAGACUUCUCAGCUGGGAAGGCACAGACAAAGCGGUCAGCCACCAGCCUAAGGUCUGACAGCCAGCAAGUGGCGGAGCAGAGUCCCUCUGUCCACACCGAGGCUCCCUGCCCAGAACUUCUGUCCCUCCAAUCUGGUCUCCACACAGCAGCCAAAGGAAAUUUCAAAAUAAAAAU
ensembl:lncRNA